rfam:Lactobacillus jensenii JV-V16 chromosome, whole genome shotgun sequence.
UAUUCAAAGUAAAUUCUACCUAAGACUCGGGUGACGAUAGAAGUCUCAAUAUCCCGCCGAGGCCAGAAGAUAAUGAUGAGUUUUACAAGCUCCAUGUCUCUUGGCAUGGAGUUUUUUUAGGCCUUAU